AUCAUUUCUUUGCAUUUCGGCUAAGAUCAAGUGAAUAUCUUUUCAUAAAGUUUAAUAUCUGAUACAUUCUUUAUCCCAGGACAAUAUAUUAAAUGUAAUUUUGGGGCAGAGAGUUGGAAUAGGAGUUUGCUCUGCCCGCUCCAUGAAUAGAUCUGGUAUUGCGGUACCGCUAGGAACAGUGCACCUUUC
rnacentral:snRNA from 1 species